rnacentral:rRNA from 1 species
UACGUAGGGACCAAGCGUUGUUCGGAUUUACUGGGCGUAAAGGGCGCGUAGGCGGCAAUUCAAGUCAGCUGUGAAAUCUCCGGGCUUAACUCGGAACGGUCAGCUGAUACUGUUUUGCUAGAGUGCAGAAGGGGCAAUCGGAAUUCUCGGUGUAGCGGUGAAAUGCGUAGAUAGUCGAGAGGAACACCUGGCGGCGAAGGCGGGUUGCUGGGCUGACACGUGACGCUGGAGGCGCGAAAGCCUAGGGGAGCGAACGGG